AAUAAACCAAAUUUUCACUUUUUACCUAUAAUUUUUGACUCUUCUUUUUAUUCAAAUUUUUUUUGCGAUUGAUAUUUUUUUAUUAGAUGAUAAAUUAUGAAUAGUACUUUACGUGGACUAAUUUUUUUCAAAUUUUCUGAAAAUUUUCAAAUAAGACGUAUGGUCAAACGUUAGAUACGGAAACCGA
rnacentral:pre_miRNA from 1 species